AUUCUUUGCCUGUGCUGUGCUAAAGAGUCAAUGGCCAGGGCCCGGUGUUCAAUGGGGGCAUUAAACCAUCAUUAUCUGUGUUCUUUAGUUACUUUGUAUGAAGCAGGAGACUUGUUCUGGGCCCUUUAACUGGGAAGAAAGGACCCUAGUUAAUAAAAAAUAGCCUGCAUGCAGGGCAGCGUAUUGUAGAACCUUAGAACCUCAGAAUUAGAAGUAAUCUUGGAGGCCAUAUGAUGCAACUUCUUACUUACGUUGUAUAUGAAUCCUUUUUUGAGCAUCUCUGAUAAAUGGUGUCUAGUCAUCCCUCCUUUCUGCUGGGGGGAUAAGAUGGACAUAAGCUAGGGGAUGGUACACGGUGGAUCCAGGAAUAACAGAAGUCUGAUAGUUAAUAUUUAUUGAACAGGUAUUACAUGUUAGGUGCAGAAAUAGAUACUCUACAUAUUUAUUUAAUUUUCACAAUAACCCGUGGAAAAGUAUGCUGGCAUCCUUUUGUAGAUGGAAAACUAGGCUUAGAGAGGGUACCACAGUGAUGAAGUUUUAACCACACUUAAGUCUUACUUCGAAUCCCUCCUUAUCUGCUUUGCAGUGCUGUCUCUGGGCCACGUUCCCCAUAAGGGACAGAAGAUGUUGGUGAGCUUUGUGACUGAUGGGAGGGGGUUUGUGUGGACCGGGACUGGGGCAGGCUGAGUAGGAUAGCUGUGCCCUCUAAGGGAGCACUUUGGAAGCGAGUGUGUGGGGUGCUUUUGUUUUCUAGUACGAUCUUGUCUGAAAAUCCAUAUUUAAAAAAAAAUGUUUUUAAAUGUUUAUUUUUGAGAGAGAUAGAGACAGAGUGCGAGCGAGGGAGGGGCAGAGAGAGAGGGAGAUACAGAAUCUGAAGCAGGCUCCAGGUUCCGAGCUGUCAGCACAGAGCCUGACACAGGGCUCGAACUCAUGAACCGUGAGAUCAUGACCGGAGCCGAAGUCAGAUGCUCAAUCAGCUGAACCACCCAGGCACCCCUACAUAUUUUUUUAUACAGGUCUUGUUUAUUUUCUCUCACCUUGCAGUUAGGGCACUAUAUUGCAAACUUAAGAGUUAUAUUCAUAUAAGUGUAAUGCUGCAGUCUUUGAAUUUCAUUUCAGAAUCAUAAAGGGGCAUACCACAUGUUUGUUAUAAAGAGAGGGCAUUGGGUUUGAGAGGGUUGGAAACUAUUGUGUGGACAGGAUACUGUGAACCCAAAGCAUGAAGAUGAACUGGGGUCUGUCCAUGACAGACCUUGUAUUCCAGACUACAGAGCUUGGGCUAACAGCCCUCAGUGCUUUCUUGCCCUUAAUUUUGUCCUCUUUUGAUAAGGUGGUUUGCCUGCCAUUUUCCACUUGCUUACUUACCGCACGUCACGGCCUGUAAUACUUUCCACCUGUGUCUCACAGAGAGUAAGAGGGGGUGAGAGUAUCCAUCGGACACUUGCGAUGCCUUCAGAAGAAUGUCAAGUCCAGAAAUUUUUUUAGGAAUUUUUCUCCACGUCGGCAACCCUUCUUUUCAUCCAAGUUCUCCUCCUUCCUAGUGCUAGGGAAUGAAUACUUUAUGAAGCCAAGUCUUCUCCUUAGGUGGCUUUUCUCUUGUGAAUGGUGAGGUGAACCGUAUGCACCAUGACAGUGCUGGGUAGAGUUUGAGAUAGUUUAUCUAGGGCCAAGGUUCUCAGGUAAGUGUGAUUUUGCCCCUCCCCUCCCCCCCCCCCCCCCAACCUCGAAACAUUUGGCAAUGUCUGGAGACAUUCUUGGUUGUCAUACUUGGGUGCUAGUGGUCAGGGAUGCAACUAAAGGCCCUACUAUGCACACAGUCAUCCACUCUCAAGAAUUAUCUGGCCUAAAAUGUCCGUAGUGCUUGGGUUGAGAAACCCUGGUCUAGGGUUCCUUACCAUAGGUAAUGGCAUCUGGGUAGUCCUUGCAUUCAUACAGGUAGGGGACUGAGUCUUGUCUUAGAGUUUAAUGGGCCUUUUACAGUGUUACUUAGGGUUGUUUUGCCCAUGGAUGAAGUCCUGCUUUGGGAUAUGUAUACUGGACAAUAUACAGCAUAAUCUUCCAUAACACAGUAAAAUUGUAAGAAAUGUUUUCCUUUGCAACAUUUCUGCAGCACUCUCUUGAUUUGGAAACAGUAAGCCUGUCUCCAUUUUGUGUUUUGGGUUCAGAUGGAAUGUUUCUAGACCUUAGAGCUUUAUCUUUGAGCCUUGAAUCUUUUCCAGGCAUGCUUUCUUUCUGAAUGUCUGAUAGGAUUUGAGCAAUAAACCAAAAAAUCGACACUAAAAGCUCAUUUGUAGUAUUUGAAUCUGGUGUCUUAUUUGUAGGAUUGUCUAGGAGAAAGGGAUAAUUCAUUGGGACUGGUAGGACCUUUAAAAUUUUGUUGACAAUUUGAAUGGCCCUCAUAAGAUAAGUACUGUAUUUGGCAUUGUUCCAGCCUUAUUAGUAAAGUAAAACUUUAACGGCAAGUUUGAUAAUUUUUCCAGCUGUUGGUCUAAAGGAAGGAGGGGUUAUAAAUAGAAAAACCUCAGAUCCCAGUUUUUGGCUUGGCUUUGCUGUCUGGGUGUCAGGAACUUUUAGUAACGUUUGCCUUCUUAACUAGGCUGUGCCCAAUGUCCUGUUACAUAGUUUGCAUACAUUGGUGGCACAAUUGGCCGUCAUCGUGGGAUUAAGAAUUUUCUAUGGGAAUUGAUUUAUAGUGAAUCAGGAAACAUGCAGAACAGAAUUACUGGGAGAAAAACCAUGCUGUGGGGUAAGAGGAAAUACGAGGCAUCUGGGAAGAUAGAGUAGUACAGGCUGAGUCAUCGGUUGGAUAUAUCGAUUAUCUCCUGGGAGCCUCCAGUAGUGGGACUGAGGAGAUGAGAGGACUAUUUACAAACUGGGCAGAGUCGAGGAAGACCAGUAGGGGUUGGCGAAACACCUCGAGGCCAAGAGCUGUUAGCAUUGUUAGGCUUGAAGGGGCAAAGGUGCAGUAGUUUCUGGAACCUUGAGAGGUUAGCUGUAGGCGAGAGUGACCCAUAGGAUUUCUGCCACUGCCAGCCGGUAGCCCUACAGGAAGGGAAUCCAGGGGCGUAAAUACCUCAGACUCUGUCAAAAUUUUCCCACCCUCUGAUCUCAUGCUGGAGCCUUUCGCUGGCCAAACCCAACCGGAAAGGGAGCCUGGGUGAUUUACUUCAUGGAGGGCAGCCCGUUGAGGCACAUAGAGGUGGAAGGUUGGGCUGAGGGCGUGGAGGAACCAAGGGAGGAUAGCCAGUGUGCUAAAGUUGAGGUCAAGUUAGUUUUGAAAGGCACAAGUGAGAAGACAGCUUGUUAGCAGAGUCUGGUAAAAUGGAUAGGAGAUGGAAUGUUCUAGAGAAGGAACGUUCUCGCCGAUAACAGAAGGAUAGAUUCAGAGGCAAAGUGUCGCCACGGCUUUGGCAAGGCCAGAGCUGCUUUUUUCCAGAGGUAGCCUCAGAAUCUUAAUUGCCUCAAGGGCCUUUAGAAAUCCUGCAGUCCAGCUUCCCUUUGCUCUGUGGAAAUCCUUCCCCCAGUGCCCUGCCAGGGGUGGGUGUGGGAUGCUUUCUCAGGGAGCUCUUGCCAUUGUUGGACAGCUUGAAUUGUCAGAAAGGUUUUCAUUUGUCCAGAUCACUGAACACGUCCAUUCCGGUUAGGUUUGGCUGCUUAUGAGAGAAAAACUAAAGUCAUGGUGAUUUUUAAAAGGUAGAAAAAGACUUCUCUAAAGUAAGAGGAACCCAGAGUAGACAAUUCAUGGCUGACGUGGCCAUUCCUAGGUCUUUGAGGAGGUUCCCCCACACAUGGUGUGUCCCCUCCUCGUCCAGGAUAGCCGUGCUGAGCUUGAGCUGUCAGGUUCAUGUUUUCUCAGGUAGGAAGAGGAAGGGCAGGAAGAAGGGCUUGCCCUGCUUUUGGGUUGAAGGUGUUUUCACGUGGAACUUAGCGUACGUACACAAGACUGUAUAAAGCACAUCGCUACGUUUUAAUAAAACAGUCAUAACAUCUAUCCCCCAGGCUAAAAAAUAGAACAUUUGGGGCGCCUGGGUGGCUCAGUCGGUUAAGCGUCGGACUUCAGCCCAGGUCAUGAUCUCACGGUUAGUGAGUUUGAGCCCUUCACCGGGCUCUGUGCUGUCGGUGCAUAGCCCGCUUCCGAUCCUCUGUCCCCCUCUCUCUCUGACCCUCCCCCACUCAUGCUCACUCUCUUUCUCCCUCAAAAAUAAAUAAACAUUUACAAAACCCUUUAGGACAUUUACCUCCAAUCCCUGAUGACAUCUCCUUUCCUUCCCUCUAGGGAGAACUAUCCUGAUUUUGGGAAUAAUUAUUCUCUUGCUGUGUUAAAGGAAAAAAAAAAAAAGAAAAAAGUGUUACCCCCAUGUGUACGUUCCCUAAGUUCAGUUUUGUUUGCUUUUUCACUUGCUGUAAAUUGAUUUAUAUGUAUUUUUUGUGGUUUUCCCAUGUUGCUUGGUGUUUGUGAGACUCAUCCAUGUUGGUCCGUGCAGUUUAUUGGUUUUAGGUCCUUGAUUCCCACUGUUGCAUAAUAUUUCAUUGUAUGACUGUCACAGAUUAUCCGUUCCAUAAUGGGCCCUUGGGUGGCUUCCAGUUUGAGGCUUUUUUGAACAUUACCGUUAGGAACUUUCUUGUAUGUGACAGGGGGUCAGAAUUGCAAGUUUUUCUGGGAUUUAGCCCUCCUGGUGGAACUGCUGCAUUAUGACUUCCCUGGAUAAUGGCAGACUUUUCAGAAGAAGCUGCAACAGUUUAUACUUCUGGCAACAGUGUACGAGAGGUCUUGUUCCUACACAGCUUGGGAAACCUGCUAUUUCCAAGGCUGUUUUACUUUUUGCCAGUCCAGUAGGGGUGAAGUCUAAUUGAUUUCCAGGCGAAUUCCCCUAAUUACUAGUGAGGGUGAGUGUCCUUUUCGAGGUCCGUUAACUCUUUGGAGCUCCUGUUUUGUGCGGGCCUCUUCCAGCCUUAUGCUUUCUCAAUUAUUUGUUUCUCCUUGUAGUUCUAUUAGAUUUGGCUGUAUGUGUUUUGAGAUUUUUGUUACCAGGUGCAUACAGAUUUAAAAUUGUUAUAUCUUACCCAGGAGGUUGUGCUUUUUCUCUGACAGUGCUUUUUCGAGUUCAUACAACACAGCUGUGUGAGCUUUUUGUCAUGAAAUGGGCAGAUUGUAAGUGUUUGAAGGAAUGGCUUGCCUGUUGUAUAGGCAGAAACUGUGGAACAGUCUUCCUCCCCUCCAUUCUUAUGGCACAUUGUUAUUUAUAUGUCCUGUUAUCCCAUGAAGUGGAUAAAUCACCUUUAUUUUAUUUUAUUUUAUUUUAUUUUAUUUUAUUUUGUUUUGUUUUGUUUUGUUUUUUUAAUUUACAUCCAAAUAGCAUAUUGUGCAACAAUGAUUUCAGGAGUAGAUUCCUUAAUGCCCCUUACCCAUUUAGCCCAUCCCCCCCCAUACCCCCUCCAGUAACCCUCAGUUUGUUCUCCAUAUUUAAGAGUCUCUUCUGUUUUGUCCCCCCCUCUUUUUAUAUUAUUUUUGCUUUCCUUCCCUUAUGUUCAUCUGUUGUAUCUCGUAAAGUCCUCCUAUGAGUGAAGUCCUAUGAUACUUGUCUUUCUCUGACUAAUUUCACUUAGCAUAAUACCCUCCAGUUCCAUCCACGUAGUUGCAGAUGGCAAGAUUUCAUUCUUUUUGAUUGCCGAGUAAUACUCCAUUGUAUAUAUGUACACCAUAUCUUCUUUAUCCAUUCAUCCAUCGAUGGACAUUUGGGCUCUUUCCAUACUUUGGCUGUUGUUGAUAGUGCUGCUGUAAACAUGGGGAUGCAUGUGUCCCUUCGAAACAGCAUACCUGUGUCCCUUGGAUAAAUGCCUAGUAGUGCAAUUGCUGGGUCAUAGGGUAGUUCUAUUUUUAGUUUUUUGAGGAACCUCCGUACUGUUUUCCAGAGUACACCAGCUUGCUUUCCCAUAAAUCACUUUUGAAUUUAAAAAUGAAGUAGAGGGGUGCCUGAGUGGCUCAGUCAGUUAAGCGUCCAACUUUGGCUCAGGUCAUGAUCUCACAGUUCGUGGGUUCAAGUCCCCCCAUCAGGCUCUGUGCUGACAGCUCAGAGCCUGGAGCCUGCUUCGGAUUCUGUGUCUCCUGUCUCUGCCCCUCCUCGGCUCAUGCGAUGUCUCUCUCUCUCAAAAAUAAAGAAACAUUAAAAAAAAUAAUUACAAAAGAAGUAGAGUUUUCGGGUGCCUGGGUGGCUCAGUUGGUUAAGCGCGCGACUCUUGAUCUCGCCUCAGGUCGUGAUCUCUCGGUUCUUGAGUUCAAGCUCCGUGUUGGGCUAUGCACUGACAGCACGGAGCCUGCUUAGAAUUUUCUUUCUCCCUCUGUCUCUGCUCCUCCCCCAUUCGUGCACUCUCUCUUUCCCUGUCUCAAAAUAAGUCAACUUAAAAAAACAUAAAAAAAAGAGGUUCUUUUUUUUUGAGGUAUAUCUCACAGUAAAGGGCACAAAUCUUAAUGGUACAGGUCAGUUACAUUUGCAUAUGAGUAUGCUGUACUCGCUGCCCAGGUACAAAGAAUGGCCAGCAUCCCAACAAGUUCCCUCGCAUUUGGUACCCACCAAAGGUUAUCUUUCUUCUCACUGUAGGUUAGUUUUGCUGAUUUUUGAACUUUGCAUAAAUGGAAACAUACAGUUCACGUUAUUUUCUGAGUAUCCUUUUUGCUGAAUCUGUGAGAUUCAGCCAUGCCCUUAUAUAGCAGUAUUUUUUUUUUUUUUAAUUUUUUAACGUUUAUUUUUUGAGAUGCCGAGACAGAGCAUGAGCAGGGGAGGGGCAGAGAGAGAGAGGGAGUCACAGAAUCCGAAGCAGAUUCCAGGCUCUGAGCUGUCAGCAGAGUCCGACGCGGGGCUUGGACUCACGAGCCAUGAGAUCAUGAUCUGAGCUGAAGUUGGACGCUUAACCGACUGAGCCACCCAGGCGCCCCUGGGUAGCAGUAGUUUUAAAACUCAUGGCUGUGUAGUUGCACGAUGUAUAAAAUCCCACCAUUUAUUCAUUCUACAGUUGACGAACAUUUCUGUUUCUGGUGUUGGCUGUUUUGAAUGACACUUCUACAUUCUUGAUUGAACAUGUCUUUUGGUAAGCACAGAAUUGCCAGGUCAUGAGGCGUACUGCCAGACAGGUUUCCCGAGUGGUUGUCCGAUUUACACUCCCACGAGGUUUUCUUAAUAUGUAACUUUUGCAUUUCGCUUUCCAGCAACAAAUCUUAAAUUUCUGUUACCUGCAUGCUCCAUGUGGGAGACAGCAUGGAAAACUCUUUCCUGAAGCAGGUUAGGCACUUUUAAAGUGUGAAACACCCCUCCGUUUCUGUAAUUUCCCCGGAAAGGAAAAGCCUACUGCAUUCUUAUUCACCUCGUCCAUCACUAUUAAUAAACAUUUGACGUAAAGAGAGCAGAGUUUUCUGUUAAGGGCAGACGUUUAGAUUUGCAAAACCCCAUUGGUAGCAGAUAAUUUGAAGGUAAAAUCAUAGUGCUCUGGAACUCCUUGGAGUCUAAGUAGCUGUUACAGUAGGUUUACACUUUGUGCUCCAUAUUGGGGAGACCUUUUUUUCUGGAGGCUUUUUCUGAAGGCAUUUAAGUGUACUCCUUUGAAAUGCAUUUUGGCUGACGGAUCUAAAAAGGGAUACAUCAGUUCUGUCUUGAGUUCCAGUCUUACUGGUGCUGGGACAGGUGAGGCAAAUAGAAGAUUCUGUUUGCAAACUCUAACAGGAAGGACCAGAGGACAAAAACAAGAAUGCCAUGGGAGACCUGCUCCUUGGCUAGCUGCAUUGCAGCCAGGGCAGACGAAGGCCUAAGGUUAUAUUGCCCAGCCCUUUUUGAUAAGCUUGUGAUUUCAGAUGCUUUCCCAAGACUCGUAACUAUAGCAGUCAACAGCAAUCUGUCCAGAUGCCUGAAAUCAGCCUUAUGAUCUGUAAACAUAAGUGGGUAACCAGUUUAGUCUUGUUUUGUAAGUAAGAGGACACUUGUAAUCUUCUGAUCGAAUUAAAUAGUGGAAGGCCGAGAGUUGAUGUAACAUGUGUCUUAUUAAAUGGAGGAGCAGCUCACUGGUCGCCGGCGUCUUCCUACCAUCCUCUGUAAGAAAACACAAUGUAGGGGUGCCUGGGCGGCUCAAUUGGUUAAGUGUCCUGCUUCCGCUUGGGUCAUGGUCUCACUGUCUGUGAGUUCGGGGCCCUGCGUCCGGCUCUGGGCUGACAGCUCAGAGCCUGGAGCCUGUUUCAGAUUCUGUGUCUCCCUGUGUCUCUGCCCCUUCCCCACUCACACUCUGUCUCUGAAAAAUGAAUAAACCUUAAAAAAAAUUAAAAAAAAAAAAAAGAAAACACGAUGUAGGCAUGGGAAUCAAACCACUUACAGCCUCUCCCAGCUCUAUCUGUGGGACUUUGCUUGAGACAUUGCAAAGGUUACUUGUCCUUGCUGCUUACUGAAAAGGAAAGGGGAAUGUUUCCUCACAGAGAUUCCGAUUCCUCAAAUACUUAGUGUUUAUUAUUUGCGGUUGCUUUCUUAUUACCUUACUGCACUGAAUACUCACAGCAGCCCUGAGAGUAGAUAGAUGGGGGUAUCUUUUUGUCCGGUGAACUUUUUGUUGAAUUAUAGCAAUGGCAUCUGUUUUUGCAGAUGAGCAAAAUCCUGCUGCAUCGAGACUUAGUAAUGUGCCAGAGGCCACACAGAGCUAAAAUUAGAGUAGAAGCUUUCGAUUACCAUUCCAGACUUUCCAGUGCACCACGGCUGCCUAUAGAACACUAGUAACAGGCCACUCAGUGAUCCCACAGAAGUCGUGACGAGUGUCAGUUCAGCACGGCACUCAGAGGUGGCUGUCCCUUUCACAUACCCCGGGUAGUGGCUGGAGUGUGUGUUUAUGAGCUGCCAAAGGAGAAAGUGUUUUUUAAAAACCUCAUCUAAAAAUGUAGCAGUUAAUAAUUCUGUUUAUAAACUCUUAAAAAUACAUACCGUAAGACCAUAGUGAUCCUCUUUGUCUAGUUUGUAUAUAAUUUCUAAGUUAGUUUUAGACAUCUAGGGUUGAUUUCAUUUGGAGUCCAAAGCUUUAUUCUGUGUUUCUGGAAUUGCAGAGUUUCUGCUGGUUUUUGGCCCAUAUGGCAACUUGUUUUCAGAAAGGCUUUUGGGUUUUUGGGGGGUUUUUUGUGGUUUUUUUUGUUUUUGUUUUUUUUGUUUUUUGUUUUUAAAGAAAGCCUGUGGAUCUUAGGUGGUUGGUCUUAGCUACGUUUGGUAGACAGAGAUGCAAUUGCUGGGUCAUAAUGCCCCCCCCCCUUUUUUUUUUUAAAGUGUGCAGUUCAUCAGUUUUUUAUCGUGUUCUCAUAGCUGUGCAGCCAUCCCCACAACCUCAGAACAUUUUCAGAAGAAAUCCCCCAGGUGUGGUACUUACUCCCUUAUGUGGCUGCAGUCCCCGGGCCUGGAAGCCGCCACCCUGCUUGUUGUCUGCACAUAUCCUUAUUCCGAGUGCUGCAUACACACAGAAUUCUACAAUGUCUGGUCUUUCGUGAUCAGCUGUUUUCCUUAGCAUGCUGUUUUGAGGGGUCAUCCUGUUGUAACAUGGAUCAGAAUGUCGUUCCUUUUUAUUAUAGUGCUGAGGCUUUUCCUGGAGAAUUUGAAGUAAUGGAUGCUAGUUCUCCUGCAGGGAACACAGGAGUCUUGGGUUUACUUUACAUAUAAUAGAAUACUUCUAUGAUUCGUUUUAGAGAGGGGGUCAUUAACCUGGGGAAGAUGGACCCCAGUGAUGGCUUUUAGGAUGUCCUGAGCCCUUUGUAAUUAUCUUCGGGUUUCAUGUUCCCAAGCAUUUUUUUCUGUGGGGAAGUUUGGGGACUGAGAGUUUUUAGCUUUUGUUGAAAGAUAAUUUUCAAAGGGUGCCUGGGUGAUUCAGUUGGCUAAGCCUUUGACUCUUGAUCUCAGCCUAGGUCCUUUUUCUGUUGUUGUUAAAUUUUUUUUUUUUUUAAUGUUUUAUUUAAUUUUGAGAGAGAGAGAGAGAGAGAGAGAGAGAAAGUGUGUGUGAGCUGGGGAGGGGCAGACAGCGAGGGAGACUCAGAAUGUGAAGCAGGCUCCAGGCUCCGAGCUGUCAGCACAGCACCCGAUGCAGGGCUCGAACUCACAAGUUGUGAGAUCAUGACCUGACCUGAAGUCAGGUGCUUAACCGACUGAGCCACCCAGGCGCCCCUCAGCUCAGGUCUUGAUCUCAGGACCAUGAGUUCAAGCCCCAUGUUGGGCCCUAUGCUAAGCAGGGAGCCUACUUAAAAAAAAAAUUCACAAAAGGUAAAA